rnacentral:tRNA from 1 species
GGGCCUGUGGCGCAGUUGGGAGCGCGCUUCCAUGGCAUGGAAGAGGUCGAGGGUUCGAAUUCGUCCAGGUCCACCA